GACGUAGGGCGCGAGCGUUGUCCGGAUUUAUUGGCGUAAAGAGCUCGUAGGCGGCUUGUCGCGUCUGCUGUGAAAAUCCGGGCUCAACCCCGGACUUGCAGUGGGUACGGGCAGACUAGAGUGUGUAGGGGAGACUGGAAUUCCUGGUGUAGCGGUGAAAUGCGCAGAUAUCAGGAGGAACACCGAUGGCGAAGGCAGGUCUCUGGGCCACUACUGACGCUGAGAAGCGAAAGCAUGGGAGCGAACAGG
rnacentral:rRNA from 1 species